AGUGAACGCUGGCGGUAGGCCUAACACAUGCCAGUCGAACGGCAGCACAGUAAGAGCUUGCUCUUACGGGUGGCGAGUGGCGGACGGGUGAGGAAUACAUCGGAAUCUACUUUUUCGUGGGGGAUAACGUAGGGAAACUUACGCUAAUACCGCAUACGACCUACGGGUGAAAGCAGGAGAUCUUCGGACCUUGCGCGAUUGAAUGAGCCGAUGUCGGAUUAGCUAGUUGGCGGGGUAAAGGCCCACCAAGGCGACGAUCCGUAGCUGGUCUGAGAGGAUGAUCAGCCACACUGGAACUGAGACACGGUCCAGACUCCUACGGGAGGCAGCAGUGGGGAAUAUUGGACAAUGGGCGCAAGCCUGAUCCAGCCAUACCGCGUGGGUGAAGAAGGCCUUCGGGUUGUAAAGCCCUUUUGUUGGGAAAGAAAAGCAGCAGGUUAAUACCCCGCUGUUCUGACGGUACCCAAAGAAUAAGCACCGGCUAACUUCGUG
rnacentral:rRNA from 1 species